GGGUUGUGAGGUUAAGCGACUAAGCGUACACGGUGGAUGCCCUGGCAGUCAGAGGCGAUGAAGGACGUGCUAAUCUGCGAUAAGCGUCGGUAAGGUGAUAUGAACCGUUAUAACCGGCGAUUUCCGAAUGGGGAAACCCAGUGUGAUUCGUCACACUAUCAUUAACUGAAUCCAUAGGUUAAUGAGGCGAACCGGGGGAACUGAAACAUCUAAGUACCCCGAGGAAAAGAAAUCAACCGAGAUUCCCCCAGUAGCGGCGAGCGAACGGGGAGCAGCCCAGAGCCUGAAUCAGUGUGUGUGUUAGUGGAAGCGUCUGGAAAGGCGUGCGAUACAGGGUGACAGCCCCGUACACAAAAAUGCACAUACUGUGAGCUCGAUGAGUAGGGCGGGACACGUGGUAUCCUGUCUGAAUAUGGGGGGACCAUCCUCCAAGGCUAAAUACUCCUGACUGACCGAUAGUGAACCAGUACCGUGAGGGAAAGGCGAAAAGAACCCCGGCGAGGGGAGUGAAAAAGAACCUGAAACCGUGUACGUACAAGCAGUGGGAGCACGCUUAGGCGUGUGACUGCGUACCUUUUGUAUAAUGGGUCAGCGACUUAUAUUCUGUAGCAAGGUUAACCGAAUAGGGGAGCCGAAGGGAAACCGAGUCUUAACUGGGCGUUAAGUUGCAGGGUAUAGACCCGAAACCCGGUGAUCUAGCCAUGGGCAGGUUGAAGGUUGGGUAACACUAACUGGAGGACCGAACCGACUAAUGUUGAAAAAUUAGCGGAUGACUUGUGGCUGGGGGUGAAAGGCCAAUCAAACCGGGAGAUAGCUGGUUCUCCCCGAAAGCUAUUUAGGUAGCGCCUCGUGAAUUCAUCUCCGGGGGUAGAGCACUGUUUCGGCAAGGGGGUCAUCCCGACUUACCAACCCGAUGCAAACUGCGAAUACCGGAGAAUGUUAUCACGGGAGACACACGGCGGGUGCUAACGUCCGUCGUGAAGAGGGAAACAACCCAGACCGCCAGCUAAGGUCCCAAAGUCAUGGUUAAGUGGGAAACGAUGUGGGAAGGCCCAGACAGCCAGGAUGUUGGCUUAGAAGCAGCCAUCAUUUAAAGAAAGCGUAAUAGCUCACUGGUCGAGUCGGCCUGCGCGGAAGAUGUAACGGGGCUAAACCAUGCACCGAAGCUGCGGCAGCGACGCUUAUGCGUUGUUGGGUAGGGGAGCGUUCUGUAAGCCUGUGAAGGUGUGCUGUGAGGUAUGCUGGAGGUAUCAGAAGUGCGAAUGCUGACAUAAGUAACGAUAAAGCGGGUGAAAAGCCCGCUCGCCGGAAGACCAAGGGUUCCUGUCCAACGUUAAUCGGGGCAGGGUGAGUCGACCCCUAAGGCGAGGCCGAAAGGCGUAGUCGAUGGGAAACAGGUUAAUAUUCCUGUACUUGGUGUUACUGCGAAGGGGGGACGGAGAAGGCUAUGUUGGCCGGGCGACGGUUGUCCCGGUUUAAGCGUGUAGGCUGGUUUUCCAGGCAAAUCCGGAAAAUCAAGGCCGAG
rnacentral:rRNA from 1 species